CAGGUCUCUAGCUGCUAGCUAUUCCUCUGUGCUGUACCUUGGCUGACCUCCCUGUGAGGUUGACCUUGCUUGGACUUUGGUUUGUUUGAUGUACCAGAAACCCCAUCUGCGCUCAGCAGGUGGCUCUGUUGCGAAGCACCAUGUCUCCUGGAUUUACCACCUCUGGAUGCUAUUGCACAGCCUAGAAUUGGGCAGAAGUGAGAACCCAACCAGCAGCUGACAGUUCAUGGAAGUGUUCCAGAUGCCUCUGGACCUUGCUUAUUCAUGUUUAUGUUCUGCAGCAUUAACUGAUUCCGGAAAUGAUCAAGCCAGUUCCAGCUGCCAAAAGAUCUCCUUUCCGAGGAGUAUGCUCACUGUGACUCAUACAAAGGAGAUCUGGAGGUGCCAUGAGUCCAGCAACCUGGUUCCUCUGUCAAUGUUUAAAACUUCAGAGGCAUGGAACAACUUUAUGCCCAACUUACAUUAUAGAGCAUGCUGUGCCUCCACUUCUCAGGGAUGCUUCGCUUGGUAACAUAGUGGCAGCCAAUGCAGAGCUUUCAGCACUAGUGUAAUAUGAUGAUAUGGUGCUGCUCUGCCCAAAUUGCUAGGUGUAAUUUCCAAACCAGCCUCAAGGAUAGUCCCACAUAGAGCACACUGCAAUGAACACACCACUGGGUAUAGUAAGAAUAUUUAUUAAGACAAUGGAUGAUCAGAGUAGCUUCCAAAUUACAAACCCGGCGUAGUAUAAUAUAACAGGAAAGGUUACUUGAGAGAGUAUAGCUACUACAAAUUACAACACUAAGAUAAACCUGAGUAAAUUUUAUUUAUUUAUUUAAUUCGACUUUUAUACCGCCCAUAGCAAAGCUCUCUGGGCGGUGUACAUCAAAUAAAAACACUUCACAUAUAAUUUAAAAACCAACUGGUCAUCAAGUUACAAAAGGAUGUAUCAUAUCACUGUCUGUUUAAAACAUCAAAUACAAAUACUAAAAUAUUAAUAUAUUGUGUGUUAAAAAUAUUAAACAUUAAAACAUUAAAAUGCCUGGGCAAAGAGGAAGGUUUUCACCUGGCGCCGAAAGGAUAGUAAUGUAGGCGCCAGGUGAACCUCGUCAGGAAGUAAACAAACUCUAAAGUUCUUCAGCAAAACACUAACAGUGUCUUAGCAUAGUCACUUACCAGAUGGUAAGAGUAAAGUGGAAGAAGAGUAUCCAGAUGCAGGUCUAACAUGGAAUCCUCUAGGCUCUCCGUAUAAUGACCUAAAGCUUAGGAUCCCCUCGAAGACUAAAACCUCAGAGAAAAUUAAAGGCUUAAAACACUUUCCCUUCCCAAACCACCCAGCAACAGGGCCAGUCAAUCACAGGCCAGUAAAGAAGUAACCUUUCAAGGCCCUAGUGCCACAGCUGACUUCAUUAGCAAGCAAAUGGCCUUAAACACCGGUAUAUCUGCUAAGGUUAAUUAGAUCCAUAGCACUUCCCAAUAUGUUGACAGGCAAAAACAAAAGUUACUAACGCAGGCCACCUUUCAAAAUGUUUGAAAGCAAACAAAAUGGAUCCUAUUCAUCACAGUCUAGAGGUCGCCAAGACCCGCAUCAGUAUGGCCAAGCAAUUAUUACCAUCUCUUCAUGUCAUUGUAGCAU